GGAGACGCGGGCAGCCAGCGAUGGCCGCGGAGGGGGCGAACUGGGUUCCGGCCCUCGGAGGCUGACGGAAGGCGGUGGCUGAGGAGCGGCGCCUCUGGUUGAGCGCUCGCCGUGUGUCCCGCACCUGUCUGUCCUGCCGCCGCCCGGUAAGAUACUUUGUGUCCUUUUUCUUUCCUGCAUGCUUUUUUUUUCUUAUUUUUUUGAGACAGAGUCUCACUCUGUUGCCAAGGCUGGAGUGCAGUGGCGGGAUCUCGGCUAACUGCAACCUCCCCAUCCCGGGUUCAAGCGAUUCUCCUGCCUCAGCCUCCCGAGUAGCUGCGAUUACAGACAUUUGCCACCAUGCCCGGCACAGCACAGCACCGCACAUCUCCAGUCGGACUGGCUACAUUUCAAGGGCUCAACCAUCACGCGUUACCAGUGGCUACUGCAUCAGACUGUGCAGUGCUAGAUGGGGAGUCAGAAGAGAAACCAAGUGAUUUCCAUGUCAAGUGGUGAACAGGCUAAGAAGAAAAGUAAAUUGGGGAAAGAGCAUGGGGAAUGUGGGGGUUGCUGUUUGAAAGAGGAUGGUUGGGAAGGCUGAAGAGCUGUCAUUCGCAGAGGGACCCAAAAGAGGUCCACUUACAGCUGGAUUUACUUCCACCUCUGCCACCUGUGAGACAGCGAGACCAACCCCUCCUCCUCCUCUUCCUAGCCUACUCCGAGUGAAGAUGAUGAAGAUGAAGACCGUUAUGAUCCACUUCCACUUAAUGAAAGAUGAAUAUAUUUUCUCUUCCUAAUGAUUUUUUUUUUUUUUUUUUUGGAGACAGAGUCUCGCUGCAUCCCCCAGGCUGGAGUACAGUGGUAUGAUCUUGGCUCACUGCAACCUCUGCCUCCUAGGUUCAAGUGAUUCUCCUGCCUCAGUCUCCCGAGUAGCUGGGAUUACAGGCGCCCACCACCAUGCCCGGCUAAUUUUUGUAUUUUUAGUAGAGAUGGGGUUUCACUAUGUUGGCCAGGCUGGUCUCAAACUCCUGACCUCAGGUGAUCUGCCUGACUUGGCCUCCCAAAGUGCUGGGAUUACAGGCAUGAGCCACCUUGCCUGGCCUCUUCCUAAUGAUUUUUUAAAGUACAUCUUGUUUUCUCUGUCUUACUUUAUCAUAAAAAUAUAUGAUACAAAUAAAAUACAGAAUAUGUGUUAAUGGACUGUGUAUGUUAUGAGUAAGCCUUCCAGUCGACAGUGGGCUAUUAUUGGUGGUUAAGUUUUGGGGGAGUGUGUGUUCAAGGGUCAACCGCACUUCCUGAGGGCACUGUGAGAACUAAGUUAAAUAACCCACUUUUACAAUCUUUGGAACCGGGGGCAGGUGGCUGGGGCUCACACCUGUAAUUACAGCACUUUGGGAGGCUGAGGCAGGAAGAUCCCUUGAGGCCAAGAGUUUGAGACCAGCCUGGGCAACAAAGCAAGACUCUGUCUCUACAAAAAUUUU
rnacentral:lncRNA from 1 species